rnacentral:rRNA from 1 species
GACGAACGCUGGCGGCGUGCUUAACACAUGCAAGUCGUACGGUAAGGCCCUGUCGGGGGUACACGAGUGGCGAACGGGGGCGUAACAGUUAAGUAACCUUCCCACAACUUUGGGAUAACGCUAGGAAACUGGUGCUAAUACUGGUAAUGUGCUACUGCUGCAUGGUGGGGGUUGGAAAGCUCCGGCGGGUGUUGAUGGACUCGCGGGCUAUCGGCUUGUUGGUGGGGUAGUGUGCUACCGAGGCGGCGUAGGGAAGCAGGCCUGGGGGGGUGACCGGCCACCCUGGGACUGAGGUAAGGCACAGACUCCUACGGGAGGCAGAAGUGGGGAAUCCUGCAGAAGGGGCGCAAGCCUGAUGAAGAAGCGCCGCGGGCGGGAUAACGGUCUUAGGGUUGAAAACCGCUUUCAGCAGGGACGAAGCUUUUUGUGACGGUACCUGCAGAAGAAGCACCGGCUAACUACGUG